GUGCUCCCCCGCCAAUUCCUUUAAGUUUCUCUGGUUGAUCCUGCCGGACCUUACUGCUAUCGGGGUGGGACUAAGACAUGCGAGUCGAGCGUCUCUAGCUAUGUUGAGACGCGGCAUACGGCUCAGUAACACGUGGCUAACCUACCCUCAGGACAAGGACAACCCCGGGAAACUGGGGCUAAUACUUGAUAGGUGAGGAUGCCUGGAAUGGUUUCUCACUCAAAGGACUUUGGAAACAUGCUUCCAAAGUCGCCUGGGGAUGGGGCCGCGUCCGAUCAGGUUGUUGGUGAGGUAACGGCUCACCAAGCCUUUAACCGGUACGGGCCGUGGGAGCGGUAGCCCGGAGAUGGGUACUGAGACAACGACCCAGGCCUUACGAGGCGCAGCAGGCGCGAAACCUCCGCAAUACACGAAAGUGUGACGGGGUUACCCAAAGUGUCCAUCUUUGGACUGUGGUAGGUGAGUAAUGUCCCCUACUAGAAAGGAGAGGGCAAGGCUGGUGCCAGCCGCCGCGGUAAAACCAGCUCUUCAAGUGGUCGGGAUAAUUAUUGGGCUUAAAGUGUCCGUAGCCGGAUUAGUAAGUUCCUGGUAAAAUCAAGUAGCUUAACUAUUUGUAUGCUAGGAAUACUGCUAUUCUAGAGGGCGGGAGAGGUCUGAGGUACUACAGGGGUAGGGGUGAAAUCUUAUAAUCCUUGUAGGACCACCAGUG
rnacentral:rRNA from 1 species